CCCGCUGAACUUAAGCAUAUCAAUAAGCGGAGGAAAAGAACCCACCAGGGAUUGCCCCAGUAACGGCGAGUGAAGCGGCAACAGCUCAAAUUUGAAAUCUGGCCUCGGCCCGAGUUGUAAUUUGUAGAGGAAGCUUCUGGCGCGGCACCGGCUGAGUCCCCUGGAACGGGGCGCCAUAGAGGGUGAGAGCCCCGUAUAGCCGGCCGCCUAGCCUGUGUGUAGCUCCUUCGACGAGUCGAGUAGUUUGGGAAUGCUGCUCAAAAUGGGAGGUAAAUUCCUUCUAAAGCUAAAUAUUGGCCAGAGACCGAUAGCGCACAAGUAGAGUGAUCGAAAGAUGAAAAGCACUUUGAAAAGAGGGUUAAACAGCACGUGAAAUUGUUGAAAGGGAAGCGCUUGUGACCAGACUUGCGCCCGGGCGAUCAUCCGGUGUUCUCACCGGUGCACUCGCCCGGGCUCAGGCCAGCAUCGGUUUCCGCGGGGGGAUAAAGGUUCCGGGAACGUAGCUCCUCCGGGAGUGUUAUAGCCCGGGGCGCAAUGCCCCCGCGGGGACCGAGGUUCGCGCAUCUGCAAGGAUGCUGGCGUAAUGGUCAUCAGCGACCCGUCUUGAAACACGGACCAAGGAGUCAAGGUUUUGCGCGAGUGUUUGGGUGUCAAACCCGCACGCGUAAUGAAAGUGAACGUAGGUGAGAGCUUCGGCGCAUCAUCGACCGAUCCUGAUGUAUUCGGAUGGAUUUGAGUAGGAGCGUUAAGCCUUGGACCCGAAAGAUGGUGAACUAUGCUUGGAUAGGGUGAAGCCAGAGGAAACUCUGGUGGAGGCUCGCAGCGGUUCUGACGUGCAAAUCGAUCGUCAAAUCUGAGCAUGGGGGCGAAAGACUAAUCGAACCAUCUAGUAGCUGGUUACCGCCGAAGUUUCCCUCAGGAUAGCAGUGUUGUUCUUCAGUUUUAUGAGGUAAAGCGAAUGAUUAGGGACUCGGGGGCGCUAUUUAGCCUUCAUCCAUUCUCAAACUUUAAAUAUGUAAGAAGCCCUUGUUACUUAGUUGAACGUGGGCAUUCGAAUGUACCAACACUAGUGGGCCAUUUUUGGUAAGCAGAACUGGCG
rnacentral:rRNA from 1 species